GAUGAACGCUGGCGGCGUGCCUAAUACAUGCAAGUCGAGCGAACAGACGAGGAGCUUGCUCCUUCGACGUUAGCGGCGGACGGGUGAGUAACACGUAUGUAACCUACCUAUAAGACUGGGAUAACUUCGGGAAACCGGAGCUAAUACCGGAUAAUAUUUCGAACCGCAUGGUUCGAUAGUGAAAGAUGGCUUUUCUAUCACUUAUAGAUGGACCUGCGCCGUAUUAUCUAGUUGGUAAGGUAACGGCUUACCAAGGCAACGAUACGUAGCCGACCUGAGAGGGUGAUCGGCCAGACUGGAACUGAGACACGGUACAGACUCCUACGGGAGGCAGCAGUAGGGAAUCUGCCGCAAUGGGCGAAAGCGUGACGGAGCAACGCCGCGUGAGUGAUGAAGGACUUCGGAUCGUAAAACUCUGUUAUUAGGGAAGAACAAAAGUGUAAGUAACUGUGCACGUAAUGACGGUACCUAAUCAGAAAGCCACGGCUAACUACGUG
rnacentral:rRNA from 1 species